UACGGAGGAUCCAAGCGUUAUCCGGAAUCAUUGGGCUUAAAGGGUCCGUAGGCGGUUUUAUAAGUCAGUGGUGAAAUCUGGUCGCUCAACGAUCAAACGGCCAUUGAUACUGUAGAACUUGAAUUACUUGGAAGUAACUAGAAUAUGUAGUGUAGCGGUGAAAUGCGUAGAGAUUACAUGGAAUACCAAUGGCGAAGGCAGGUGACUACGAGUACAUUGACGCUGAUGGACGAAAGCGUGGGGAGCGAACAGG
rnacentral:rRNA from 1 species